CGUACAUAUCACAGUGAAACACGGGUUCUCGUACCAUCACUGAAGUUAAGCUACUUUGAGCCUGGUCAGUACCUAGAUGAGUGAACCCUUGGGAAUACGAGGUUCUGUCA